rnacentral:rRNA from 1 species
UAUGAAAAAUAGGGAGGAAAUCCUAGACCCCAACAAUACAUGCAUGCCUUUCAACAGGACAUUGAUGACUGUGAGAUCGGAGACUUGGGAUACAAAGGUGAUUGCUUCACUUGGUAGAGAGAAAGAAUUUGCGAGAGGCUUGACAGAGGCCUCAUUAACAAAACCUGGGCAACAAUGCAUCCUCAUGCGUCGUUGGAGAAUUUGGGGUAUAACCACUCCGACCACAGGCUGUUAUUGUUUGAUACCAAUUUUUACGUACAGGAACCAAGUGGCGGGGUUCAUGUUAAAAGACUUGAAGCUCCUUGGUUUACGAGAAAAUGCUUUUAA